CCAUUAAACUGCUUGGGAAACUGAUAGUCUAGAGUGAGGGAGAGGCAGAUGGAAUUGGUGGUGUAGGGGUAAAAUCCGUAGAUAUCACCAAGAAUACCCAUUGCGAAGGCGAUCUGCUGGAACUCAACUGACGCUAAGGCGCGAAAGCGUGGGGAGCAAACAGGAUUAGAUACCCUGGUAGUCCACGCCCUAAACGAUGUACACUAGUUGUUGGGGUGCUAGUCAUCUCAGUAAUGCAGCUAACGCAUUAAGUGUACCGCCUGGGGAGUACGGUCGCAAGAUUAAAACUCAAAGGAAUAGACGGGGACCCGCACAAGCGGUGGAGCAUGUGGUUUAAUUCGAAGAUACGCGAAGAACCUUACCUGGGCUUGAUAUCCUAAGAACCUUUUAGAGAUAAGAGGGUGCUAGCUUGCUAGAACUUAGAGACAGGUGCUGCACGGCUGUCGUCAGCUCGUGUCGUGAGAUGUUGGGUUAAGUCCCGCAACGAGCGCAACCCACGUAUUUAGUUGCUAACGGUUCGGCCGAGCACUCUAAAUAGACUGCCUUCGUAAGGAGGAGGAAGGUGUGGACGACGUCAAGUCAUCAUGGCCCUUAUGCCCAGGGCGACACACGUGCUACAAUGGCAUAUACAAUGAGACGCAAUACCGCGAGGUGGAGCAAAUCUAUAAAAUAUGUCCCAGUUCGGAUUGUUCUCUGCAACUCGAGAGCAUGAAGCCGGAAUCGCUAGUAAUCGUAGAUCAGCCAUGCUACGGUGAAUACGUUCCCGGGUCUUGUACUCACCGCCCGUCACACCAUGGGAGUUGAUUUCACUCGAAGCCGGAAUACUAAACUAGUUACCGUCCACAGUGGAAUCAGCGACUGGGGUGAAGUCGUAACAAGGUAACCGUAGGAGAACCUGCGGUUGGAUCACCUCCUUU
rnacentral:rRNA from 1 species